rnacentral:lncRNA from 1 species
GAAAGUGCGAACAGGCCCUACUCUAAGGUGCUACUAGACGUCCGCGCUGUCCAAAAUUCACAGAGAAGACAAAACUAGGAAUCCUCACAUUGUAAGCCAUGAGCUACUUUGAGCGGUUUCUCUGAAAAGGCUUCACGUUUUGAGCUGUCAUAGGCAACAGACUACUCCUUUGCAUGUGCAAAAUUUACAAGAACUUUUUGAAGUAAACCUUGAAAAAACUCAUUGCAGACUGUAAUGGAAACAUAUUUAGAGGACAGGCAACUUUUUUUCCUAUUGGAGAAGAAGGCUCUUUUGCAGAAGAC